rnacentral:lncRNA from 1 species
UCACUCUUUUUAUUUCCUCUUGUUUUGCCCCGCCCGAAGCGGAGCACAGCGGAAGUGCAGGUUGUGGGCCGCUCUGGCCCUCCGGAGGACUCGUAGUCGUUGCCCGAGGCCCUUCGCGGCUCUCCUCGCCUCUGGUCGGCGGUGGGCGGGUCUGACGUGUGCAGUCUGCGGCGUCGUACCGCUCUGCUGUAGCUCUGGGUUAUUAGACCAUGGGACAGCAGGAUGUGUGGCGGCUCCUGUCGAGGAGUUGCCGUGGUCAUGGUGUCUCUUCAGAAUAAAAGCCCUAUUAAGACACUUGCUAAAUGAAAGGUUACAUAAGGUACAAAUGCACUCUUCUAAACUUUACAGCUUAGUGAAACUUACACACUAUCCUGGAGCCAUUGAUUAGAUACACGUUUUUGGGUUGGGGAGAGGGGCUGUUGUGUUGCUUAGGUGGGCCUCUAACUCACUAUUCUCCUGCCUCCCCUCACAGUCCUAGGAUCACAGUUGUGCACCACCGUGCCUGCUAUCUUCAGGUGAUUUUCAACCCCGUUUUCUUCAUGUCCCCUCUCAGCUUAUCCAGCAUCUGCCAUUCUGAUAUCAGUUGUUAUUGGUCACUUUUACCAAGCUGUAUGUUAGCUGUUUCCCUAG